rnacentral:lncRNA from 1 species
GUCCAUAUGAUCGUUUCGUUACUUUCCUAUGAAAAUAGAUUCAUCAAGGUUCGUUUACAUAAUUUAUUCACUAUUUAAUUCCAUUCCUACUAUUUUUAGUGAUUUUUCACAUCCACAUCACUGUUGCUUCCAGCAUCUGUUUUUAAGGUAAACUUUACCUAUUUCAUGAUCCUCCAUGGAUCAACUAGAGUUUGUCAUACAUAUUCCAAAGGUGAUCAAGAAUAACCCUUCCCAUGGCUAACCGUUACCAACAUUUCCAUACCUCUCGACGGACAACAUACAAAACGAUUAUAAUGCUAUGAUCAAAGUAUAUUUAAGCCAUUUUCGCAUGGCUAUCCAAAUUUACACAAAACCGAAGGGUACAUGACCAACAACAAAAGGGUAGUCCUAUACAUGCCAUUUUCAGAGUUCAACCAAAAGUGUACCAAAAGGGCUUUGAUAGUGUGGGCGACUUCGACUUCAAAAUCCCGAGUCCGAUAGCUGAAGAACCAAAAUCUAUAAAACAGAGAAUCAAAGAAACGGAGUAAGCAUUAAAUGCUUAGUAAGUUUUGAGCAAAGAGUUUAGACACAACCAAAGUAUAUCAUUCAUGUAGCUAAACGGAUAAUUUCAUAUGCACAAAUUUUCAAUAUCAUACUUACUUCACAUUACCAACCCUUAUGUUCAUACACAAAAGAUCAACUUAGCCAAAGGCCGGUAGCUCAUUUAUCAACUGAGCGAAUACUUAUUUGUAAGGGCUCAACUAAUUCAAAGCACAUACGAAACAUACCUCAAUGCUGGGAUGUUACAAGCGUAUUAACUGAAAUUUUUACAGCAAGAUCGUUCAUUCCCGAAUCACGUACCUUCAGAAUUUAACCGGAUAUAGCUACUCGUUCAAAUGCCUUCGGGACAUAGCCCGGUUAUAGUAACUCGCACAAAUGCCUUCGGGACUUAACCCGAAUUUAGUAACUCGCACCAAUGCCUUCGGGCUUAGCCCGAAAUUAGUAACUCGCACAAAUGCCUUCGGAUCUUAGUCCGGAUAUGGUCACUUAGCACAAAGCCUUCGGGACUUAGCCCGGACAUCAUUCGAAUAACCAUGCACAUUUAACAAUAAAUCAUGACACAUUCGAAUUUCAUUUUCAUUAGCAAAACUCAAACACAAGACACUUAUCACUCUUGCAAUUUCGGCUCAAUAGCCACACACAAAGAGCAUGAUUUUAAUUUGCUUAAAACAUGAUCUAAUCAAAUCAUAAUUUAAGCUCUAUUACUCAAGAACUUACCUCGGAUGUGGUCGAGCGAUUUCGACAGCUAUUCGAUCACUUUUUCCUUUCCCUUAUCCAACUGUGGUCCUCUAAGCUCUUGAGCUAAUUCAAACAAAUUUAACUCAUUAAAGUCUCAUUUUGCUAGCUUAUGGCCGAAUAUGACAAGGAGUUUGAUAGGUCAUAUGGCCACCUUUUAGCUCAAAUACACAAUGGUCAUACGCAUUUUUAAUCACAUCAAGCAAUUUAAUACAAUUCAUUCGAACAUCAAAAGAGAAGCUCAAGGUACUUAGCCCAUAUAUACAUUAGACAUUAGAGUCACAUAUGUACGAAAUCACGAAUCGAAUUCAACAUACUAGCUAAUAUUUCCCCUUAGCCGAAUUUUCUAAGUCAAGCUAAAGCCAUCAAUAGGCUACCUAUGGCCGAACAUACACAUAACUUAUGUACUUAUUCAUGUGGCCGAACAUACAUGUCUAUGUUGGGGCCGAUUGCAACACUUAAUACAUUCUACAAGUAUGGUCACUUGUAUUGACUAAACACCAUUUUGUUUCAAGUUCAAAACUUGGCUAAUACACACAUAUAUACACUAGUAAAGCAUCCUCUCCCUUUCCAUCAAUUUAACACAUGUAUUACUCAUUAAUAUACAAAAAUUAUAUUCGGCCUUAGCACACAACUUGCUAGCCGAUUCUUCUCCAUCUAGCAACCAAUGCACAUAUGUUCUCAUUCGUUAGACUUUACUUCAUCUAACAACAACCAUAUUUUUCCCUUCUACUUCCUACCAUGGCCGAAUGCAUCACAACACUAUACCAUUUUAAUUUUUGGUCAUGGUUAAACAAAGAACUUAAUGUCUCACUCAAAAAUGCUAAAAAUAAGAUUCAAGAAUCAUCAAUCCACCAUCACAUGCACCAUUACAAAGCUUCACUUUUAGCAUGCAAAUGAUAUCAACACAAAUCCACCUUAGCCGAAUAUCAUCUCCAUGACAUAGUAAAGAUUUGAACCAUGGGCUAGUUAGAACUCAAGCUAACUACUAAAAUAUACAUGAAUCUCAUGGAGCAACCUCAAACAUACCUUAGCCUAGUUACAUGCAUGGCCGAACCUCUUCAACAUUUCCUCCUUUCUUUCCUUUUGAAUUUCAGUCAAGGAUGUUCAAGGAUGAACACAGAUUUUUUUUUCUUUGUUUUCUUUCUUCCAUUCACGGCAAAGGGGGGGCAUGGAUGAGACCAUUUUUUUUUUCAUCACUCCUCCCUUUCAUUAUUUAAUUACCAUGCUCAUUAUUUUAUUGUUUCCUCCCAUGAUGCACCAACACAACAUGUCUAUGACAUGUUUUGCCCAUCACCCUUUGUCCAUCCUAAUGUCAUGGCCGGCCACUACUAGAUGGGGGGAAAAUUGACAUGCAAGUCCCCCCUUUUUCAACAUGCACUAAUAGGUCCUUAUGUUUUGAUCUAUCACAUUUCAAAAAUGUCACACAUAAGUCCUAUUGACUAAAUUCACAUGCAACUUACUAAAUAGAAGCUUAAAAUUUUCACACAUUUAUUUUAGACAAUAAAUAUCAUAUUCAAACAAUUUGGUGACUCAGUUUAGCGGUCCCGAAACCGCUUUCCUACUAGGGUCACUUUAGGGCUGUCACAGUUGAGUCGGCUUUUCUAAAGGAAGUUAUGCUUCAAAUGGGAUUUGCAAUAAAGUGGGUGACAUUAAUCAUGAAACCCAUUUCUACAGUCUCUUAUACAGUGAAUACCAAUGGGAGAAGAGGAAAUGUUUUUAAGCCCACUAGAGGACUUUGUUAGGGUGACCCGCUUAGCCCUUUUCUUUUUCUAAUAUGCAGUAAGGGACUCUCGUCUUUAAUAAGAAUGGCAAUAGCUGAGGGAUUGAUGAAGGGAGUGAAGGCUAGUAGAAGAAGACCAAAAAUAUCACACUUGCUGUUUGCAGAUGACUGUAUACUAUUUGGUGAAGUGAAAAAUAGAGGGGUAAGAAUUUUAAAAGAAAUUUUGAAAGAAUAUGAACAACGCUCAGGUCAAUGCGUGAAUUUUAGCAAAUCAACAAUUUUCUAUAACUCAAAUACAACAUAAAGAGACAAAGAAGAAAUCUUGAGGUUACUAGGUGUGAGAUGCUCCACAAAUUUGGAAAAAUAUCUAGGAGCUUUUUAGAAUCUCAAAGAUAAAGUUAAGUCGAAAAUUGAAAGUUGGAGUACAAGGUUAAUGUCACAAGGGGGAAAUGAGGUUUUUAUAAAAUCAGUUCUUUAAGCAAUUCCAACUUAUGCUAUGUCAUGUUUCCUCCUACCAAAAUCGUUAUGUGGGGAGUUAGAAAAUAUUUUUGCUAAAUUCUGGUGGCAAAAAGGACAGGGAAGGAAAGGGAUACACUGGUGUUAAUGGAAAUUUAUGUGUCGAUCAAAAGAGGAGGGGGAAUGGGCUUUAGAAAUCUGGCGCAAUUCAAUAUUUCAUUACUAGAUAAGCAAGGGUGGAGGAUUAUUACUAAUCAAAAUUCUUUGGUUAUGCGAGUAUUUAAAGCAAAAUAUUUCAUGAAUGAACAUUUUUUAAAUUCUCGAUUGGGGAAAACUAGUUCUUAUAUAUGGAAAAGGAUAUGGGCAGCGAAGGGUAUUUUGGAAAAAGGUAUAUGUUGGAGGGUUGGUACAGGUACAAAUAUUUCUAUCAAUGCUAAUGGGUGGAUUCCAAAUGCUGUUAAUUUUAAAUUAUCUUCAGUUGUUAAUUCUAUGCGUGAUGUCAAGGUCAGUGAGUUGAUCGACAGUAAUGAGAGAACAUGGAAAAGAGAACUUAUAAACAAUACCUUUCCAGAGGAAGAUGCUGGAAAAAUCCUCUAGAUACUUUUAGCACACACCUCACGAUGAUUUUCUUGUCUGAGGAGGUGAGUUUUCGGUCCGCAGUGCCUAUAAACUAUUACAAACUUUUGAUGAAAUUCAUAGACCUUACGCUUUACAAACUGACUACAGGAAUUUUUACAAAAAACUCUGGCUCCUAAAUCUACCAAAUAAAAUCAAGGUUACAGUAUGGAGAAUUUCAUGGUACUAUUUGCCUACGAGGGUUAAUAUGCAACACAGAAAGUUUGUCAAGCUGCCCUCGAUGUGGAGAAAGAGCUGAAAAAAUUAACCAUAUUUUUCGCGAAUGUCCUGUCACAGUGGAAGUUUGGGCACUAUUAAAAAUUCAGAAUAUUAUUCUGGAUCCUGACAUGGAUUUUUUACAGUGGAUUACCUGGAUUUUUGAUCAGCUUACUUCAUAUCAGAGCCUCCUCUUCUAUUCUGGACUUUGGGCUAUCUGGGGAGAGAGAAACAGAAGAAUACAUAGGCAGAAAAAUAGUACAGGUCAGGAAAUAGCAUAUUUCAUCAACAACUAUAUGGCUGAACUAAAUGGUUUAGAAAUGAGAAAUCCAGUAAAGGGGAAGGAGAUAAGAAGAUGGAGUUACCAACCUAGUGAGUUCGUAAAAAUUAAUUUUGAUGGUGCAUAUGAUGUGAAUCACCACCAAUCUGCCUCAGGGAUUGUUGUUAGAAACGAAGAAGGGGUUGUCUUACUUUCUUGCUCAAAGAUCCAUCAUGGGGUAACUUUCACAUUUGCAGCUGAAGUAAUCGUGCGUAGAAAAGCGGUCCAAGUAGGAGUGGAACAGGAAUGGUCGAAGGUUAUAAUAGAAGGAGACUCCCUCACAAUAAUCAAGAAAUGCGCAACAAAAAGUCAAGAUUGUUCACAUAGUGGAGCAUAUAUAUACGAUAUUCAACAGAAACUAAACAAAUCUAGAAGUUUCAUAUUCAAACAUAUACUAAGAUCUGCUAACGGAAACUCUAAAAAGAAAGGAAGAAAUGUACCUGGAACUGACGGUCCCAGGGUAUGCUAAAAAUCAACGAAGGAUUGACUGGAGACGAGAACCAGAUUGAGAAUGGAGGGGGAAUAAGAGAAAUGAGAGGAAAGUAAAGAAAAGCAGAAGAAUCAGUUUUUUGAAAUAACAAACUUUCCCAAAAACUGAACCAUCAAAAGGAAAAAUUCAAAAUGAUACUCAGAUGACAAGACAAUUUUUAGUAUUUUCUGACUGGGAAUUAAUU